rnacentral:rRNA from 1 species
AACGGCGUAAGCAUUWAUCCAUUAAAGAUUGACGCUGAGAAACGAAGGUGAGGAUAGGAAAUAGGAUUAGAUACCCAGAUACCCCUCUCUGUCAACGAUGAAUGGUAGUUUGUUAGUCAAAUAAGAG